GAUGAAGAACGUAGUGAAAUGCGAUACGUAAUGUGAAUUGCAAAUUCAGUGAAUCAUCGAGUCUUUGAACGCACAUUGCGCCCCCUGGUAUUCCGGGGGGCAUGCCUGUCCGAGCGUCAUUGCUGCCCUCAAGCACGGCUUGUGUGUUGGGCCCCGUCCUCCGAUCCCGGGGGACGGGCCCGAAAGGCAGCGGCGGCACCGCGUCCGGUCCUCGAGCGUAUGGGGCUUUGUCACCCGCUCUGUAGGCCCGGCCGGCGCUUGCCGAUCAACCCAAAUUUUUAUCCAGGUUGACCUCGGAUCAGGUAGGGAUACCCGCUGAACUUAAGCAUAUCAAUAAGCGGAGG
rnacentral:misc_RNA from 1 species